GGAGUGAGCAGAAUGGGAAAUGUCAGGGUCCGCAGCCUUACACGGGGUGAUCUGGCGGCCUCCUCAAGAGGUGACACCGAGGGAAGGCUAAAGGGAGAGGAAUCAGCUGUGUGGCGUUGGAGCCAGAGGAAGAGCCAGUGCGACGGGGCGGGGAGCAAGGCGGCCCCGCGUGUGUAGCUGAGAACAGGGAGCAGAAGCGACCAGGCCUGAGAGGGGAGAGAACGCCACUUGCGAUGCUCCUGGAUGCCCUUUCAUCCCGACAUCACCCAGAGUGGGAGCCGAGGCCUCUGCCGGCCGCCUGUGCGGUGCAGGUAGGGGGACGUCAGUUCAGGAGCCUGGCUGCUGUCUCCUGAGAUAAGGAGCAGAAAAAGACACAGCAGAUCUGGGAGGCGUGCUGGGCACCGGGCGAGCAGGAGGCUGCUGGCCAGGGGAGGUCCGACCAGGAGCUGGAGCCCCCAGUGACUUGCAGUGGGACCACAGCACUCCCGCCCUCAUAUACCUGCCUCGGCUCCCCAGCUGUCUGCUGAGAGCAUCAAGGCUCCUCCAGACCCCGGCACACCUCUGCACCACAGCUGCUCCCACUGCCACGCUUCUGCAUCCACUGUUUCUUCCGCCGGGCGUGCCAGACUCACCUCCCAUCCCCUUACAUCUUUUCUAUCAUCUUUUUAAGAACCCCUUGGAGUUCUAAACCUGGCUGAGUGAGGUGGCCAAGCAACUUCCCCUCCAAGCCGUAGCUUCCUCACUGAGAACAUGUGGAAGCUAUUUCUUACCUCACAGGAUUGUUGGUGCAAAUUAAACACGACAGCGUCUGUGAAAAGCACCUGACGGCAAACAGCACGAAGUAGUUAUUUAAAAAGUAGCCCCCCCACCUCAAAAAACACCAACCAACUUCUUGCAGCAGCACCUCCUCCGGGAAGCCUUCCCUGACCACACCCCCUGGUCUGGCUUAAGUGCCUUCUUGUUGGUCCCUCCCUCCCUGGGCAACCCCUGGCACGGCACCACACGGGGCAGCAAUGACUGUGACUUUCCUGGUGGGUGCCAGGCCCCACAGUCAGUGUCAGACAAAGAAGUUGAAAGAAGGGGUGAAUGGCACAGGCCCAACCUCAGCCUCCUCCUCUGUCUGGACCCUGGUAGGUGAGAGGACAGGCAUCUCAGAUGCCCCUGGACCCCAGGAUUCUUGGCCUCCAUGCUCGGGACCAGCUUGCCAGGCUGCUGUCCAUCUCUGCUCGGAGGAGUCCUGACCUCGGCCCAGGCCCCCACUCUCCUCCCCAGGCAGCCACUGAUGGCAGCUCCCAGAGAUGGGGAUGGGCCCACUCCGCUCCCUCAUCUGCCAUGCUGCCGGCCAGCCGGUGGCCAAGUGGCCAGCCUGAGCUCAGGGCUGGCUGGAGAAGGGGUGAUGAAACAUCCCAGGUGGCCCCAGGAGCUUAGGGAAGCAACGGGUGGGGGUCCCCGAGCUGUCUCCAUUUCUUCUAGGAGGCUCAGGGGUACUACGCAUUUAUCCCAGACGAGGCCACGCUGACACAAAUCCGGCAGGGCCCUGCUCUGGGCCAGAAGCUGUCAGCUCACAGCCCCGCCGGCUAUCUCCCCCCACCCAAAGCUCGGGGAGGCAGUUAUGGAUGUCUUUGAUUAAUAAGAAAUGGGGGCAAUGAAUUAACCAUUAUGUAAUAAAUGCAGCUUGUUUGGCAGCCAUAUCUUUCAAAAACACGGCUCCUGUGUGUGAGAAAUAGCGGAGGGGGGGUCCCUCAGUAAAGACAUAUGGCACUCCAGGGGAGGCUACCAUGUUUGCCCCAGGAGCCCCUGUACCUGGGGGUCGGCAGUGACAGCCUCGGGCAUC